GCCUGAUCAGAUGCUUUUGACAAUACCCCUGGAUGCCUGCCUAUCUACAUACACAUACAGUAUCUCUACAUACCAGAUCUUUUCCAUCACCUUGUCUGUUACUCUGUUCAGACCUCCAGGAACCCGACUUUGCUUCUGGUACCCAAAUGCAGAUUCUUUAAGUUUAGGAGAAGUACAACACCUUUAUUUUACUAAGAUUCCUGGGUACCAGAGAGAUCUGCUAUUCAAAUCAACGCCUGCUAGCACCGGGCUUGAUUAAUGGAAACCAAGCAUUUUGAAGGAUACCCGCCAGCCUUUCCUCUCUGUUUCCAUGUUCCUUUGGCAGAAAUCAGGGCUUUGAAAGCUGCAAUACAACAGCAACCUCUUUUCAUCUUAUGGUAAAUAUUUUAUUAUUGCUUUAUCCCCCAUGCUGUUUAAAGAAAUUCAUUUAAAACAUGAACUCCUUUGUUCAGGGAAGAAGUCUCCAAAGGGUAUGCAAACAAGAAUCUUUAGAAAUGCAGCAAGAUGUAACUCCAGGCUCUGCUCCAGCUUCCCCCAUUCAUUCAGUUUGCAGACCUGGCGUCUCCCUGCUGGAGAUCUCUGCUCAGACGGAAAGUCUCCAGCAGCUGCUAUUCCACCACCCAUUCAUACAUGACCAGCUCCUCUCUCCCUGCUCCCUGCAUCUCCACUUCUCUUUCCUUCAUCCAUCCAAUUUUCUCCCUAAUCUGAUCUCACUUCUUUGAUCCUCCUUAGGAACACUGAUCAUCCUCCCCCACCAAAGCACCACUCAUCCCUACCGAGGGCUGGCAACAAUUAAGCUGUAACAAAGCAUGAAAGGUGUCUACUUGAAGGAGUCGGGCAACUGUUACAGACCAUCUUUAUCCCCAGCUAUGCUGUGAACUGCACCAGUGUGCAUUCCCUUUCCAAAACAACCGCAGGCACCACGAGGGGAGGAGUUGUCCUUCAGUACCAAGCAAGAAAGCUGUCAAACAGUGUCCCUUCAACAUCAAUGAAACCCUCUCCUCUGAUUAAUACUUUGCAUUUUCCACAAGGGAAAACAACAGAGUGAGGAGGUAAGUGGGCAACUGAAUUACCCAUUC